CCUACGGGGGGCAGCAGUGGGGGAUAUUGCACAAUGGGGGGAACCCUGAUGCAGCGACGCCGCGUGGGUGAAGAAGCGCCUCGGCGCGUAAAGCCCUGUCAGCAGGGAAGAAAAUGACGGUACCUGAAGAAGAAGCCCCGGCUAACUACGUGCCAGCAGCCGCGGGAAUACGUAGGGGGCAAGCGUAAUCCGGAUUUACGGGGGGUAAAGGGGGUGCAGACGGGGAUGCAAGCCAGGAGGGAAAGCCCGGGGCCCAACCCCGGGACUGCCCUUGGAACUGCGUGGCUGGAGUGCAGGAGGGGCAGGCGGAAUGCCUGGUGUAGCGGUGAAAUGCGUAGAUAUCAGGAGGAACGCCGGUGGCGAAGGCGGCCUGCUGGACUGCAACUGACGUUGAGGCCCGAAAGCGUGGGGAGCAAACAGGAUUAGAUACCCGAGUAGUC
rnacentral:rRNA from 1 species